GACGAACGCUGGCGGCGUGCCUCAAACAUGCAAGUCGAGCGAGGUGAAACCGAACCGCAAGGGGAGGUUGAACCUAGCGGCGAACGGGUGAGUAACACGUGGGUAACCUGCCUGGAAGAUCGGGAUAACGGCUCGAAAGAGUCGCUAAUACCGGAUAAUGUCCUGGUGCUGCAUGGCACCGGGAAGAAAGGGGAAACCCGCUUUCAGAUGGGCCCGCGCCCCAUCAGCUAGUUGGUAAGGUAACGGCUUACCAAGGCGACGACGGGUAGCCGGUCUGAGAGGACGAUCGGCCACACUGGGACUGAGAUACGGCCCAGACUCCUACGGGAGGCAGCAGUUGGGAAUCUUAGGCAAUGGGCGAAAGCCUGACCUAGCGACGCCGCGUGAGGGAAGAAGGCCUUCGGGUCGUAAACCUCUGUCAUGGGGGACGAAGAAAGUGACGGUACCCCAGGAGGAAGCCCCUGCUAACUACGUG
rnacentral:rRNA from 1 species